AGACAGCAGUAGCCACGGGAAUACAGAGGGUGCGAGCGUUAAUCGGAUUUACUGGGCGUAAAGCGUGCGUAGGCGGCUUCUUAAGUCGGAUGUGAAAUCCCUGAGCUUAACUUAGGAAUUGCAUUCGAUACUGGGAAGCUAGAGUAUGGGAGAGGAUGGUAGAAUUCCAGGUGUAGCGGUGAAAUGCGUAGAGAUCUGGAGGAAUACCGAUGGCGAAGGCAGCCAUCUGGCCUAAUACUGACGCUGAGGUACGAAAGCAUGGGGAGCAAACAGGAUUAGAUACCCGUGUAGUCCCUGUCUCUUAUAC
rnacentral:rRNA from 1 species